rnacentral:rRNA from 1 species
GAUGAACGCUAGCGGCAGGCCUAAUACAUGCAAGUCGAACGGGAUCUGAGGGUAGCUUGCUACCCGAUUUGAGAGUGGCGCACGGGUGCGUAACGCGUGAGCAACCUACCCAUAUCAGGGGGAUAGCCCGAAGGAAUUCGGAUUAACACCGCAUAAUAAUACGCUAACACAUGUUGAUGUAUUUAAAUAUUUAUAGGAUAUGGAUGGUCUCGCGUGACAUUAGCUAGUUGGUAAGGUAACGGCUUACCAAGGCGACGAUGUCUAGGGGCUCUGAGGGGGGAGUCCCCAAAACUGGGACUGAGACACGGACCAUACUCCUACGGGAGGCAGCAGUAAGGAAUAUUGGUCAAUGGGCGCAAGCCUGAACCAGCCAUGCCGCGUGCAGGAUGACUGCCCUAUGGGUUGUAAACUGCUUUUGUUAGGGAAUAAACCUUCUUACGUGUAAGGAGCUGAAUGUACCUAAAGAAUAAGGAUCGGCUAACUCCGUGCCAGCCGCCGCAGUAACAC